UACGGAGGGUGCAAGCGUUAUCCGGAUUCACUGGGUUUAAAGGGCGCGUAGGCGGGCGGCCGCGUCCGGGGUGAAAUCCUCCCGCUCAACGGGGAGAACGGCCUCGGGUACGGGCGGCCUCGAGGGGGGGUAGGGGCGUGCGGAACUGUGGGUGGAGCGGUGAAAUGCGUUGAUAUCCACAGGAACUCCGGUGGCGAAGGCGGCACGCUGGACCCUUCCUGAUGCUGAGGCGCGAAAGCCAGGGGGAGCGAACGGG
rnacentral:rRNA from 1 species